rnacentral:rRNA from 1 species
AGCAGUAGCCACGGGAAUACGAAGGGUGCAAGCGUUACUCGGAAUUACUGGGCGUAAAGCGUGCGUAGGUGGUGGUUUAAGUCCGUUGUGAAAGCCCUGGGCUCAACCUGGGAAUUGCAGUGGAUACUGGGUCACUAGAGUGUGGUAGAGGAUAGUGGAAUUUCCGGUGUAGCAGUGAAAUGCGUAGAGAUCGGAAGGAACAUCUGUGGCGAAGGCGACUAUCUGGGCCAACACUGACACUGAGGCACGAAAGCGUGGGGAGCAAACAGGAUUAGAUACCCGGGUAGUCCCUGUCUCUUAUAA